GAGAGCACAGUACGAUGAAAGUUGUGAGCUGUGUUCGGGGGGGGAGUUAUUGUCUAUCAUUGGCCUCUAUGGUAGAAUCAGUCGGGGAGGCCUGAGAGACGGUGGUUUACCCUGU
rfam:Picea glauca, whole genome shotgun sequence.